GGCGGGAUGCUAGAGUGGUUUAUCAGGUUUGUUUCGAAAACAAAUGUAUUAGAAAUAGUACCGUAGGUUCAAAUCCUACUCCCGCCGCAA
rnacentral:tRNA from 1 species